rnacentral:rRNA from 1 species
GAUGAACGCUGGCGGCGUGCCUAAUACAUGCAAGUCGAGCGAAUGGAUUAAGAGCUUGCUCUUAUGAAGUUAGCGGCGGACGGGUGAGUAACACGUGGGUAACCUGCCCAUAAGACUGGGAUAACUCCGGGAAACCGGGGCUAAUACCGGAUAACAUUUUGAACCGCAUGGUUCGAAAUUGAAAGGCGGCUUCGGCUGUCACUUAUGGAUGGACCCGCGUCGCAUUAGCUAGUUGGUGAGGUAACGGCUCACAAAGGCAACGAUGCGUAGCCGACCUGCGAGGGUGAUCGGCCACACUGGGACUGAGACACGGCCCAGACUCCUACGGGAGGCAGCAGUAGGGAAUCUUCCGCAAUGGACGAAAGUCUGACGGAGCAACGCCGCGUGAGUGAUGAAGGCUUUCGGGUCGUAAAACUCUGUUGUUAGGGAAGAACAAGUGCUAGUUGAAUAAGCUGGCACCUUGACGGUACCUAACCAGAAAGCCACGGCUAACUACGUGCCAGCAGCCGCAGUAA